UACGGAGGGUGCGAGCGUUAAUCGGAAUUACUGGGCGUAAAGCGUGCGCAGGCGGUUUGUUAAGCGAGAUGUGAAAGCCCCGGGCUCAACCUGGGAACCGCAUUUCGAACUGGCAAACUAGAGUCUUGUAGAGGGGGGUAGAAUUCCAGGUGUAGCAGUGAAAUGCGUAGAUAUUGGGAGGAACACCAGUGGCGAAGGCGGCUCCCUGGGCCUGUACUGACGCUCAUGCACGAAAGCGUGGGGAGCAAACAGG
rnacentral:rRNA from 1 species